rnacentral:ribozyme from 1 species
GUUGGGAAAAACUCGUGUCUGAUACCGGGACACCCGGUGUUCUUUGUUUUUUCUCUUCUCUUCUCUUCUCUUCUCUUCUUUC